UCCGAGUUGACCCCGGCAGUCUCCCAUGAGUCCCCAACUGAAUGCUGGCAACAUGCGACGGGGGUUGCGCUCGUUGCGGGACUUAACCCAACAUCUCACGACACGAGCUGACGACAGCCAUGCACCACCUGUGAGAGUGCCCCGAAGGGAACCCCUGUUUCCAGGGGGGUCACUCACAUGUCAAGCCCAGGUAAGGUUCUUCGCGUUGCGUCGAAUUAAACCACAUGCUCCACCGCUUGUGCGGGCCCCCGUCAAUUCCUUUGAGUUUCAGCCUUGCGGCCGUACUCCCCAGGCGGGGCACUUAAUGCGUUAGCGCCGGCACCCAGGGGGUCGCUCCCCCAGGCACCUAGUGCCCAUCGUUUACGGCGUGGACUAC
rnacentral:misc_RNA from 1 species